GAUGAACGCUGGCGGCGUGCCUAAUACAUGCAAGUCGAGCGAACAGAUGAGGAGCUUGCUCCUCUGACGUUAGCGGCGGACGGGUGAGUAACACGUGGAUAACCUACCUAUAAGACUGGGAUAACUUCGGGAAACCGGAGCUAAUACCGGAUAAUAUAUUGAACCGCAUGGUUCAAUAGUGAAAGACGGUUUUGCUGUCACUUAUAGAUGGAUCCGCGCCGCAUUAGCUAGUUGGUAAGGUAACGGCUUACCAAGGCGACGAUGCGUAGCAGACCUGAGAGGGUGAUCGGCCACACUGGAACUGAGACACGGUCCAGACUCCUACGGGAGGCAGCAGUAGGGAAUCUUCCGCAAUGGGCGAAAGCCUGACGGAGCAACGCCGCGUGAGUGAUGAAGGUCUUCGGAUCGUAAAACUCUGUUAUUAGGGAAGAACAAAUGUGUAAGUAACUAUGCACGUCUUGACGGUACCUAAUCAGAAAGCCACGGCUAACUACGUG
rnacentral:rRNA from 1 species